UCCGUAGGUGGCUUAAUAAGUGAAAGGUGAAAUCCUUCGGCUCAACCAGAGAACUGCCUUUCAAACUGUUUAGCUUGAGGCUGGGAGAGGAAAGUGGAACUGCUAGUGUAAAGGUGAAAUUUGUGGAUAUUAGCAGGAACGCCUGUGGAGAAGUCGGCUUUCUGGUCCAGUCCUGACACUGAGGGACGAAAGCUAGGGUAGCAAACAGGAUUAGAUACCCUGGUAGUCC
rnacentral:rRNA from 1 species